AUUCGUGGGGUUUAUGGUCCUGAGAAGACAAAAACAAGCCCACCACCCUCACAGUUCAUGGAAUCCUAAGUGAUGUGAUGAAUGCAUUCUUUGGUUGUUGGUUGAACAUUUAUGUACGUUGAAAGCCAAGUACAGAGAUAAUGGCUAAUUGCCACUGUUAUAUGAACCUUGUAUGGGAAUGCUUUUAGCCAUUAGUUACCCUUACCUUUAUCCCGAGUCAACCAUGUGUAAAUUAGUUUUUCAUCACUCCCAUAUUCAGCAUGUGAUGUAUUAUAAGCUAAAUUUUAAUUGAUAUAGUGUUGUUUGAGUUAAUUACUUGGUUUUGUAUGAUCAGACUGACUAUUUCCUUCCUGGAAACAAAGUGGAUUCAUAAUUUUUUACUGUCAAAGUGAACCUUGGCAACGCAACAAAUUAUGAAUCCACUUUGUUUCCAGGAA
rnacentral:misc_RNA from 1 species